rnacentral:rRNA from 1 species
GACGAACGCUGGCGGCGUGCUUAACACAUGCAAGUCGAGCGGUAAGGCCCUUUCGGGGGUACACGAGCGGCGAACGGGUGAGUAACACGUGGGUGACCUGCCCUCAGCUCUGGGAUAAGCCUGGGAAACCGGGUCUAAUACCGGAUAUGACUCCAUGACGCAUGUUGUGGGGUGGAAAGCCUUGUGCGGCUGAGGAUGGGCCCGCGGCCCAUCAGCUUGUUGGUGGGGGAUGGCCUACCAAGGCGACGACGGGUAGCCGGCCUGAGAGGGCGACCGGCCACACUGGGACUGAGACACGGCCCAGACUCCUACGGGAGGCAGCAGUGGGGAAUCUUGCGCAAUGGGCGAAAGCCUGACGCAGCGACGCCGCGUGAGGGAUGACGGCCU